rnacentral:rRNA from 1 species
AGCUCCAAUAGCGUAUAUUAAAGUUGUUGCAGUUAAAAAGCUCGUAGUUGGAUUUCUGUCUUGGAUGUCCGGUCCGCUCCCUCUGGGAGUGCGUCCUUAUGGAUGUUCGAGACAUUUUUUGUGAGGCUGCCUUUCUGCCAUUAAGUUGGUGGGUUGGUGGGCUUGCAUCGUUUACUGUGAAAAAAUUAGAGUGUUUAAAGCAGGCGUUUGCUCAUUUGAAUACAUUAGCAUGGAAUAAUAAGAUACGGCCUUGGUGGUCUAUUUUGUUGGUUUGCACACCAGGGUAAUGAUUAAUAGGGACAGUUGGGGGUAUUCAUAUUUCAGCGUCAGAGGUGAAAUUCUUGGAUCGCUGAAAGAUGAGCUUAGGCGAAAGCAUUUACCAAGGAUGUUUUCAUUA